rnacentral:misc_RNA from 1 species
UUGAUUUAUUUAUUUUUAAUUCAGAUGACACAUUUAUAGUGGGUUUGAGAAAUUUUCUGACGGGCGAACCCGCCAAAGAAACAGGUAAUUAAACACAGGGUGGGAGGUUGAACCCCGAAGGGUUCCCUUUUCAAUAAUGAUCCUUCCGCAGGUUCACCUACGGAACGUUCUUCUCACUGCACUUCGUUUGGGUGCAGCGUUCUCCAGUUCUGGAGGAGACCGGUCAUAUCUUAAUCAUCUGCGAUGACCACCAUUACUUGAUCUGUGAACCCGGGCAGUCGCACGGGGCCGCUGAUCCCUAAGAAGGGUCUCAGCAAUUUCAUGGUGUUGCCGUACUCGCAUAUUACAAGUAGGCUGCGCAAUUGUUUAAGGUCGCUGCGAAAGGCUUCAGUAGGGACGGAAGGGAAA